GCGCUCCCCGCCAGUUUUGUGACGUCACGGAGGUCAGACAAUCCCUUCCAUUUGGCGCGGCUAGCCUAUUGGUUCCACGCGUGCGCGCGCCCCGUGACCACGCCCUGUUGCUGGUGAAGUAACAGCUGCUUUCAAGGUCAAGUCUGGAAUGUUCCAAGGCACUGGACAUGAGACAUUCAAGAGCCUGGAGAAGAGACAAACGUUGUCUGUGCAAGGCCAGAGACAAGUAAAGGAGCCAUGGCUACAGUUUGUGGACCAGUAGUCUCUGGACCCCCAGUCUUCAGACUCUUAGGCCAGGGCUUGAGUCUCAGAUUUUGUUGUUUGGCACAGUGAGUGAGCUGGGCAUCGAUAUGGAGUCAGGUAGAAUAGAAAACAGGACUUACACUGAUACAUUACCUUGGUAAAGCUGUUGUGAGUGAAUACAAGGUUGGAUGAAUCAAGAACCCUUGGCAACAAUUGAUGCUCAAGAAGGAGGUGACUGUCCGAGAAGUAAUGAUGCCACAUCAAGUUGGCUCAAUAAAGAUGCGCUUUGUGCAUUUGCUUGCUUCAGAACAACAAGUAAUCAGGCUCCUUCCACCCCACUCAAAUGUUUGCAGAGGGGUGUUUGAUCAGUUCAAAUGUUAAUUUAGAAAUCACAUAUAUGGCCACUGUAACUGGAACACUUUCAGUGUUCUUUCUGGAAUGCUGUGGUAUGAGUUUGCUGAUAAAUGCCAGUGUUUGCAUCCAUUAUAAGGCUGGUGAGGACCAGUAGUUUCCUAGGCACAGUUUGAGAUAAACUAAAAAAUAAAAAGAACCAUUGCCCUGUGCCUAGAAAAUGUCAUCAAGACAUCAAGGUCCAAACUAUUUCCGUGUCUUCUCCCCACCCAGUGCCCAGCAACAGGUAGAAAGCCAUGGAGAGGCUAGCUCUG
rnacentral:lncRNA from 1 species